GAUGAACGCUGGCGGCGUGCCUAAUACAUGCAAGUCGAGCGAACAGAUGAGGAGCUUGCUCCUCUGACGUUAGCGGCGGACGGGUGAGUAACACGUGGAUAACCUACCUAUAAGACUGGGAUAACUUCGGGAAACCGGAGCUAAUACCGGAUAAUAUAUUGAACCGCAUGGUUCAAUAGUGAAAGACGGUUUUGCUGUCACUUAUAGAUGGAUCCGCGCCGCAUUAGCUAGUUGGUAAGGUAACGGCUUACCAAGGCAACGAUGCGUAGCCGACCUGAGAGGGUGGUCGGCCAAACUGGAACUGAGACACGGUCAAGACUCCUACGGGAGGCAGCAGUAGGGAAUCUUCCGCAAUGGGCGAAAGCCUGACGGAGCAACGCCGCGUGAGUGAUGAAGGUCUUCGGAUCGUAAAACUCUGUUAUUAGGGAAGAACAAAUGUGUAAGUAACUAUGCACGUCUUGACGGUACCUAAUCAGAAAGCCACGGCUAACUACGUG
rnacentral:rRNA from 1 species